rnacentral:rRNA from 1 species
ACGGGUGCGUAACACGUGGGCAAUCUGCCUUAAAGUGGGGGAUAGCUCGGCGAAAGCCGAAUUAAUACCGCAUGUGAUCAGGGGAGACAUCUUCCCGAAAUCAAAAGUGGCGCAAGCUACUGCUUUUUGAGGAGCCCGCGGCCUAUCAGCUAGUUGGUGAGGUAACGGCUCACCAAGGCUUUGACGGGUAGCUGGUCUGAGAGGACGACCAGUCACACUGGAACUGAGACACGGUCCAGACACCUACGGGUGGCAGCAGUCGAGAAUUUUUCUCAAUGGGGGAAACCCUGAAGGAGCGACGCCGCGUGGAGGAUGAAGGUCUUCGGGUUGUAAACUCCUGUCAUUUGGGAACAAGUGCCGGUACGUAACUGCUACCGGCUUGAUAGUACCAGAAGAGGAAGAGACGGCUAACUCUGUGCCAGCAGCCGCGGUAAUACAGAGGUCUCAAGCGUUGUUCGGAUUCAUUGGGCGUAAAGGGUGUGUAGGUGGCGCCGUAAGUCGGGUGUGAAAUUUCGGAGCUUAACUCCGAAACUGCAUUCGAUACUGCGGUGCUUGAGGACUGGAGAGGAGACUGGAA